GACGGGGGGAUGCAAGUGUUAUCCGGAAUCACUGGGCGUAAAGCGUCUGCAGGUGGUUUCCUAAGUCCACUGUUAAACCUUGAGGCUCAACCUCAAAUCUGUAUUGGAAACUAGGAGACUUGAGUAUAGUAGGGGUAGAGGGAAUUUCCAGUGGAGCGGUGAAAUGCGUAGAUAUUGGAAAGAACACCGAUGGCGAAGGCACUCUACUGGGCUAUUACUGACACUCAGAGACGAAAGCUAGGGGAGCAAAUGGG
rnacentral:rRNA from 1 species